UGAGGUAUAUUGGUCAAUGGGCGAGAGCCUGAACCAGCCAAGUAGCGUGCAGGAUGACGGCCCUAUGGGUUGUAAACUGUUUUUAUAUGGGAAUAAAGUGAGGGACGUGUCCCUUAUUGCAUGUACCAUACGAAUAAGGACCGGCUAAUUCCGUGCCAGCAGCCGCGGUAAUACGGAAGGUCCAGGCGUUAUCCGGAUUUAUUGGGUUUAAAGGGAGCGUAGGCUGUUUGUUAAGCGUGUUGUGAAAUGUAAGUGCUCAACUUUUAGAUUGCAGCGCGAACUGGCAGACUUGAGUGCGCACAACGUAGGCGGAAUUCAUGGUGUAGCGGUGAAAUGCUUAGAUAUCAUGACGAACUCCGAUUGCGAAGGCAGCUUACGGGAGCGCAACUGACGCUAAAGCUCGAAGGUGCGGGUAUCGAACAGG
rnacentral:rRNA from 1 species